GGUUAAGCGACUAAGCGUACACGGUGGAUGCCCUGGCAGUCAGAGGCGAUGAAGGGCGUGCUAAUCUGCGAUAAGCGCCGGUAAGGUGAUAUGAACCGUUAUAACCGGCGAUACCCGAAUGGGGAAACCCAGUGUGAUUCGUCACACUAUCAUUAACUGAAUCCAUAGGUUAAUGAGGCGAACCGGGGGAACUGAAACAUCUAAGUACCCCGAGGAAAAGAAAUCAACCGAGAUUCCCCCAGUAGCGGCGAGCGAACGGGGAGGAGCCCAGAGCCUGAAUCAGCAUGUGUGUUAGUGGAAGCGUCUGGAAAGGCGCGCGAUACAGGGUGACAGCCCCGUACACAAAAGCGCAUGUGCUGUGAGCUCGAUGAGUAGGGCGGGACACGUGGUAUCCUGUCUGAAUAUGGGGGGACCAUCCUCCAAGGCUAAAUACUCCUGACUGACCGAUAGUGAACCAGUACCGUGAGGGAAAGGCGAAAAGAACCCCGGCGAGGGGAGUGAAAAAGAACCUGAAACCGUGUACGUACAAGCAGUGGGAGCACAGGUUUACCUGUGUGACUGCGUACCUUUUGUAUAAUGGGUCAGCGACUUAUAUUCUGUAGCAAGGUUAACCGAAUAGGGGAGCCGGAGGGAAACCGAGUCUUAAUUGGGCGUUAAGUUGCAGGGUAUAGACCCGAAACCCGGUGAUCUAGCCAUGGGCAGGUUGAAGGUUGGGUAACACUAACUGGAGGACCGAACCGACUAAUGUUGAAAAAUUAGCGGAUGACCUGUGGCUGGGGGUGAAAGGCCAAUCAAACCGGGAGAUAGCUGGUUCUCCCCGAAAGCUAUUUAGGUAGCGCCUCGUGAAUUCAUCUCCGGGGGUAGAGCACUGUUUCGGCUAGGGGGCCAUCCCGGCUUACCAACCCGAUGCAAACUGCGAAUACCGGAGAAUGUUAUCACGGGAGACACACGGCGGGUGCUAACGUCCGUCGUGAAGAGGGAAACAACCCAGACCGCCAGCUAAGGUCCCAAAGUCAUGGUUAAGUGGGAAACGAUGUGGGAAGGCCCAGACAGCCAGGAUGUUGGCUUAGAAGCAGCCAUCAUUUAAAGAAAGCGUAAUAGCUCACUGGUCGAGUCGGCCUGCGCGGAAGAUGUAACGGGGCUAAACCAUGCACCGAAGCUGCGGCAGCGAACGUAUCACUUAAAGCGAUUCAGCGGGUUACGAUUGACGGAGCGAAGCGACGUCAAAGCGUAUACAAAGUCGAGUCGGUUUAAGGAUACGUUCGUUGGGUAGGGGAGCGUUCUGUAAGCCUGCGAAGGUGGCCUGUGAGGGUUGCUGGAGGUAUCAGAAGUGCGAAUGCUGACAUAAGUAACGAUAAAGCGGGUGAAAAGCCCGCUCGCCGGAAGACCAAGGGUUCCUGUCCAACGUUAAUCGGGGCAGGGUGAGUCGACCCCUAAGGCGAGGCCGAAAGGCGUAGUCGAUGGGAAACGGGUUAAUAUUCCCGUACUUGGUGUUACUGCGAAGGGGGGACGGAGAAGGCUAUGUUGGCCGGGCGACGGUUGUCCCGGUUUAAGCGUGUAGGUGUGUGUUCCAGGUAAAUCCGGUUCACUUUAACACUGAGGCGUGAUGACGAGGCACUACGGUGCUGAAGCAACAAAUGCCCUGCUUCCAGGAAAAGCCUCUAAGCAUCAGGUAACAUCAAAUCGUACCCCAAACCGACACAGGUGGUCAGGUAGAGAAUACCAAGGCGCUUGAGAGAACUCGGGUGAAGGAACUAGGCAAAAUGGUGCCGUAACUUCGGGAGAAGGCACGCUGACACGUAGGUGAAGUGAUUUACUCAUGGAGCUGAAGUCAGUCGAAGAUACCAGCUGGCUGCAACUGUUUAUUAAAAACACAGCACUGUGCAAACACGAAAGUGGACGUAUACGGUGUGACGCCUGCCCGGUGCCGGAAGGUUAAUUGAUGGGGUCAGCGCAAGCGAAGCUCCUGAUCGAAGCCCCGGUAAACGGCGGCCGUAACUAUAACGGUCCUAAGGUAGCGAAAUUCCUUGUCGGGUAAGUUCCGACCUGCACGAAUGGCGUAAUGAUGGCCAGGCUGUCUCCACCCGAGACUCAGUGAAAUUGAACUCGCUGUGAAGAUGCAGUGUACCCGCGGCAAGACGGAAAGACCCCGUGAACCUUUACUAUAGCUUGACACUGAACAUUGAGCCUUGAUGUGUAGGAUAGGUGGGAGGCUUUGAAGCGUGGACGCCAGUCUGCGUGGAGCCGACCUUGAAAUACCACCCUUUAAUGUUUGAUGUUCUAACGUGGACCCGUAAUCCGGGUUGCGGACAGUGUCUGGUGGGUAGUUUGACUGGGGCGGUCUCCUCCUAAAGAGUAACGGAGGAGCACGAAGGUUGGCUAAUCCUGGUCGGACAUCAGGAGGUUAGUGCAAUGGCAUAAGCCAGCUUGACUGCGAGCGUGACGGCGCGAGCAGGUGCGAAAGCAGGUCAUAGUGAUCCGGUGGUUCUGAAUGGAAGGGCCAUCGCUCAACGGAUAAAAGGUACUCCGGGGAUAACAGGCUGAUACCGCCCAAGAGUUCAUAUCGACGGCGGUGUUUGGCACCUCGAUGUCGGCUCAUCACAUCCUGGGGCUGAAGUAGGUCCCAAGGGUAUGGCUGUUCGCCAUUUAAAGUGGUACGCGAGCUGGGUUUAGAACGUCGUGAGACAGUUCGGUCCCUAUCUGCCGUGGGCGCUGGAGAACUGAGGGGGGCUGCUCCUAGUACGAGAGGACCGGAGUGGACGCAUCACUGGUGUUCGGGUUGUCAUGCCAAUGGCACUGCCCGGUAGCUAAAUGCGGAAGAGAUAAGUGCUGAAAGCAUCUAAGCACGAAACUUGCCCCGAGAUGAGUUCUCCCUGAGACUUAGAGUCUCCUGAAGGAACGUUGAAGACGACGACGUUGAUAGGCCGGGUGUGUAAGCGCAGCGAUGCGUUGAGCUAACCGGUACUAAUGAACCGUGAGGCUUAACCUU
rnacentral:rRNA from 1 species